UAGAAAAUUAUUUCCAGAAACACCAUAAAAUCAAAGCAGUAAGUAAUGUAAGGAACAAUCAAGCUACAAGCUUAAAGUUCUCAGGAAAAUAAUUCACAGUUAUAUUUUUGUGGAAUUACCUAAUUUUCAAGUCAUGAAUUAGAUAUCAUGCAUAAUCAGCCCCCUCACCACCCCCAUUCCAAACACAUCUAUGAGCCUCAAUUUACUCUUCUUACUCCUAUGAAGUUCUGAUUUCAGAAAAGAGAAAAAGAGCAUGCUUAAUCUCGUUUCUUUUUCCUCUUCUUUUGUCUCUUGUCCUAUCACCCCCAACUCCAAAGUUUAUAGCACGCAUAGAAGUCCAUGCAUGUACAGAAUAAUAUAUCGAGAUAGAAGUUGAGAUUUCAUAUAUAUCAACUAAUUGAAAAUACACUCACCAAGGUUGUACCUAAUUGAAAAUGUAUGCAUCAAGGUUAUCAUCCGUCGACUUUCAUAACUUCAUACUUACUCUUUAUAUUGACGUUCCUUUUCUUCUAUUGAUAUAAGUCGAUUUUAUGACAUUUAAAAACUAUUCUCAUACAAAUGACAAUUUUCUUCAUUGCGUGCUACCUUCCUUUUGGAUUCUUGCAAUAAUGACAAAUUACUGAAAUUUGAAAUUUCUUUCCCAUCGCUUCCCAAAAGACCCUUCCUUAAAUUAAUGGUAAAGACCAACAGAUGAGAACAAAAGAAAAGGCUUUAACGUCAGAUGAUUCAUUUAGCCCCCUUUCACCACCAACCAUACCCACUCCCUCCCACCAAACACCAUCAUGACCAUGUUAUACCAUGGCACCGCCGGCACCUCACACCGCAGCCGCUACAAUGAUUUACCACCAUCCUUUCAGAUCAAUGAAGCGAUCACCAGGAAGAAACUCCCGGCCACCAUUCUGUUUGCCAUUAAGAUUGCCAAAAGCAUCAACUAUAAGAUCCACCACCAAAUCUUUAAGCGCAUGACAAGGAAUGGAGCAUAAAGAAGAUCCAUGAUGGCAAUCAAAUCUAAUUGUUGAAAUGGUAUGGAAUAAAAUACAAGAUCUACCCACUUUUGUACCCUGUGGUGGUUUCGAAGAGACGAUAUGCUUUACAUUUGUUAAUUAGGGAUUUAUCUUUUGAAUCGCUCAAUAGCUAUAGAGGUGUGAUGGCUCAGUCUCUCUUUUUUCCCUUUUCUAGAAUGACACGAUGUGAAUCUUUCAGAAUUCUUAUUUGUUCUUUUUUAGGGGCUAGCACCACAGAUGCAUGGAUGAGAAACAUGGAGGAGAAAUGGCUUGGGGGUUAAUAUUCGCUUCGGCGGUGGAUUUUGUUGGUGGCCUCAAUUGUCUUUUUCAGGUUUCAUAUGUUGUUAGUCGGUGGUUUUGAUUGUGGUUUUCAGGUUCAUAUAUUAUUGGUGGUGGUUCUAAUUUUGGUUUUCAGGCUCAUAAAUGGGGCAACACUUCCUUGUGUUGACUGCACAUUUUAGAUCUAUGUGAAGGUCAGGCAUUCUGCUGCAAAAAUAGUGAAAGAAAACUGCGGUCUCUGCGGAUUUAUGAAAGCCAUGGGAGCAGAUGUAGAUUUGGGUGAUAAGGGAAUGGAAGUGGAGAGAACUACUCCUUGUAACAAGAAUAGUUGGAAAAUUGAUUUUACUUAGAAGAUGCUCUCUACUUAAUUACAUUAUGAGUACUGCCCCUUCCCUGUAGAUGGCUUCAUCAUCCAUCCAUAUAAAAUUGUAAUCCAGGAAAAUACAAUUUCAGAUGAGUAAGUCCAGUGACCGCAAGAAUUGGUUAACAAGAGCUGAGUUGAUUAACCCAUCACCAGAAUUACAAAUUCUGAUGUGAGUACUCAGCUUUACCCCUCUCUACAGAAAAAAAUUACUUUGAACAACUUCCAUUGUCAUAUAGUCUUGUGUUGAACAUAUUGCUUUUUGAGUGUUAUUUGUUGCAUUAGUUCCCUUUUAUUUAUGUCUGGAUUGCCAUCUAUUCUUGCAUAAUUUUGUGUUACACUUUCAGCAGACCUACUCAACUCCCCCCUGAAGAGGAUCAGGAAUUUUUCAUGGAAGAAUAAAGAAUCCAAAAGUAGAUUUAUCUCAUAAUUAAAACAGAUGAGCUUAGAGCCCAGCAGCUAUCAACAGAGACCCCAAAUGCCCAGUGAGCAAUUUGAAUUGUACCUUUGGCCUUUAGUAUAGAGAUAGUAACGAGGAACUUUCAUCCAACAGGCUGAAGUCUAUUUUCUAUAGAUGCAUAUUUGGGAGAAAAUUAAAGGUGCACAAUGCUAUUCAGGCACAUAUGAUAUUUUUCAUUCUAACCUAUGAGUGAUAAGUUGUGAGUAGAAACUUAUCUGCUAGCGAAGGGUAAGGCUACACAGCCCUGCUAUAUGAAUAUCCUGCAGUGGCCUAUACCUUCGAAUCUCAGCUUUUCGAUUAACAACUAAUGAGUUCAUGAAACAAAUGGCAUCUAGAGAUAUAAUUGACCCUUCCUAUUCAUUUCUUUUGAAUAAGUUCGAAAUGACACAGGGUGCCCACCAGUCUGGCGGCCAUAAUAACUAUUCCGUGAUGGGGCUGUUGGCACAAAUCAUGCUACGACAUGAGCCAGUGGUUGGCAGGUAAAAUCCCCUGCAAACUCCAUCUCUUAUAUUUCAAAUAGAAAUCUCUUAUCAAAGUUAGAAAAAGAUCUGUCUUAAAAUCAUAUUUAUCAAACCUACCUCUGUGUGUGGGACCUAGUAUAUAUUAUAUAUAUUCUAGAAGAGCAAUAGAUAACUGAAACAACAUGAACACCACAACCUGCAAUGAAGAAUAGUAAAAUUUAAAGAGGAAA